rnacentral:rRNA from 1 species
UGGGGAAUUUUGGACAAUGGGCGCAAGCCUGAUCCAGCAAUGCCGCGUGCAGGAUGAAGGCCUUCGGGUUGUAAACUGCUUUUGUACGGAACGAAAAGCCUCUCUCUAAUACAGGGGGUGAUGACGGUACCGUAAGAAUAAGCACCGGCUAACUACGUGCCAGCAGCCGCGGUAAUACGUAGGGUGCAAGCGUUAAUCGGAAUUACUGGGCGUAAAGCGUGCGCAGGCGGUUUUGUAAGACAGUGGUGAAAUCCCGGGCUCAACCUGGGAACUGCCAUUGUGACUGCAAGGCUGGAGUGCGGCAGAGGGGGAUGGAAUUCCGCGUGUAGCAGUGAAAUGCGUAGAUAUGCGGAGGAACACCGAUGGCGAAGGCAAUCCCCUGGGCCUGCACUGACGCUCAUGCACGAAAGCGUGGGGAGCAAAACAGGAUUAGAUACCCUGGUAGUCCACGCCCUAAACGAUGUCAACUGGUUGUUGGGGAUUUAUUUCUUCAGUAACGAAGCUAACGCGUGAAGUUGACCGCCUGGGGGAGUACGGCCGCAAGGUU